rnacentral:rRNA from 1 species
AUUGAACGCUGGCGGCAGGCCUAACACAUGCAAGUCGAGCGCGUGGCGGACGGGUGAGUAAUGUGUGGGGAACAUCCCGAAGGAGGGGGAUAACUCCGGGAAAAGGUAGCUAAUACCGCAUACCAUCGGAGGUGCCCAGAUGGGAUUAGCUAGUAGGUGGGGUAAAGGCUCCCCUAGGCGACGAUCCCUAGCUGGGCUGAGAGGAUGAUCAGCCACACUGGGACUGAGACACGGCCCAGACUCCUACGGGAGGCAGCAGUGGGGAAUAUUGCACAAUGGGCGCAAGCCUGAUGCAGCCAUGCCGCGUGUAUGAAGAAGGCCUUAGGGUUGUAAAGUACUUUCAGUGGGGAGGCGUUACUCGCAGAAGAAGCACCGGCUAACUCCGUGCCAGCCGCCGCGGUAAUAC